rnacentral:rRNA from 1 species
AGCGAACGCUGGCGGCAUGCCUAACACAUGCAAGUCGAACGAAGGCUUCGGCCUUAGUGGCGCACGGGUGCGUAACGCGUGGGAAUCUGCCCUUUGGUUCGGAAUAACAGCUGGAAACGGCUGCUAAUACCGGAUGAUGACGAAAGUCCAAAGAUUUAUCGCCAGAGGAUGAGCCUGCGUUGGAUUAGGUAGUUGGUGGGGUAAAGGCCUACCAAGCCGACGAUCCAUAGCUGGUCUGAGAGGAUGAUCAGCCACACUGGGACUGAGACACGGCCCAGACUCCUACGGGAAGCAGCAGUGGGGAAUAUUGGACAAUGGGCGCAAGCCUGAUCCAGCAAUGCCGCGUGAGUGAUGAGGGCCCUAGGGUUGUAAAGCUCUUUUACCCGGGAAGAUAAUGACUGUACCGGGAGAAUAAGCCCCGGCUAACUCCGUG